AACGAACGCUGGCGGCAUGCCUAACACAUGCAAGUCGAACGAGACCUUCGGGUCUAGUGGCGCACGGGUGCGUAACGCGUGGGAACCUGCCCUUAGGUUCGGAAUAACUCCCCGAAAGGGGUGCUAAUACCGGAUAAUGUCUUCGGACCAAAGAUUUAUCGCCUUUGGAUGGGCCCGCGUUGGAUUAGCUAGUUGGUAGGGUAAAAGCCUACCAAGGCGACGAUCCAUAGCUGGUCUGAGUGGAUGAUCAGCCACACUGGGACUGAGACACGGCCCAGACUCCUACGGGAGGCAGCAGUGGGGAAUAUUGGACAAUGGGCGAAAGCCUGAUCCAGCAAUGCCGCGUGAGUGAUGAAGGCCUUAGGGUUGUAAAGCUCUUUUACCCGGGAUGAUAAUGACAGUACCGGGAGAAUAAGCUCCGGCUAACUCCGUG
rnacentral:rRNA from 1 species